rnacentral:rRNA from 1 species
AGUACGCUGCUACCCAUGCAGUCGAACGGCAGCACAGGAGAGCUUGCUCUCUGGGUGGCGAGUGGCGGACGGUGAGGAAUACAUCGGAAUCUACCUUUUCGUGGGGGAUAACGUAGGGAAACUUACGCUAAUACCGCAUACGACCUACGGGUGAAAGUGGGGGACCUUCGGGCCUCACGCGGAUAGAUGAGCCGAUGUCGGAUUAGCUAGUUGGAGGGGUAAUGGCCCACCAAGGCGACGAUCCGUAUCUGGUCUGAAAGGAUGAUCAGCCACACUGGAACUGAGACACGGUCCAGACUCCUACGGGAGGCAGCAGUGGGGAAUAUUGGACAAUGGGCGCGAGCCUGAUCCAGCCAUACCGCGUGGGUGAAGAAGGCCUUCGGGUUGUAAAGCCCUUUUGUUGGGAAAGAAAAGCAGUCGAUUAAUACUCGAUUGGGAUGACGGUACCCAAAGAAUAAGCACCGGCUAACUUCGUGCCAGCAGCCGCGGUAAUACGAAGGGUGCAAGCGUUACUCGGAAUUACUGUGCGUAAAGCGUGCGUAGGUGGUUGUUUAAGUCUGCUGUGAAAGCCCUGGGCUCAGCCUGGGAAUUGCAGUGCAUACUGAGCGACUAGAGUGUGGUAGCAGGAUAGUGAAGUUUCCUGUGUAGCGUUGAAAUGCGUAGAGAUCAGAUGGAACAUCUGUGCCGAAGGCGACUAUCCUGUUCCGACACUGAC